UACGUAGGGGGCUAGCGUUGUCCGGAAUCAUUGGGCGUAAAGUGCGUGUAGGCGGUCCGGUAAGUCCGCUGUGAAAGUCGAGGGCUCAACCCUCGAAUGCCGGUGGAUACUGUCGGGCUUGAGUACGGGAGAGGCGAGUGGAAUUCCUGGUGUAGCGGUGAAAUGCGCAGAUAUCAGGAGGAACACCGAUUGCGAAGGCAGCUCGCUGGAACGUUACUGACGCUGAGACGCGAAAGCGUGGGGGAGCAAACAGG
rnacentral:rRNA from 1 species